rnacentral:lncRNA from 1 species
GGGCCCACCUCACCUGUGUGUCCGUGGCUCUGUGGGGUUCCCAACCCGCUCCAGCCUCACCCCUUUGCUCCCCCGCCCGCUGGGCUCCUCCGCAGGGUGGGCGCCCCCCGGGACGCAAAAUGCCCAAAAUCCGCCCCCCUUUGCGCCCCGCUUUGAGCCCCCACCGGUGCCCCACGGGGGAUUUGGGGUCCACCAAACCCUUCCCACAGCCAGGGCAGGAUGACUUCUCUGCGAAUCUUCCUCCUCCUCCUCCUCCUCCUCCUCCGUGCGCCCCGCUUCUGGCUCCAGCCCUCUCCAAGCACGCGGGCGAAGCGGCCGCCCCCACGCACCGACCCCCCCCGGACCCCCGGCCCCUCCAGGAGCAGCACGAAGCUGCCAGGCCUCCCUUCGCGUCCUGCAUGGUCCUGGGGGGGCUCUCCUGGAGGUGAGGGUGACCCCGGCACCCGUGGGUGCCCGAAAAAUGACGAAGCGAGGGCUGGGUGCGAGCUAACGAGGGGUCCCCGUGCUCGGCAAGGUGCCCCCUCUCCUUCGGGUGCCUUCGCCCACCCCAUGCCUGCCUGGCGAUGUGACCCGUGGGGUUUUGGGGCUGGGAGGUGAUGGAGUGCAUGGGGAUGGGGUGCAGCCACCCCAAAACCUCCACGUUUCACCCCAAGUCGUGUGGGACCACGCGCGUCCGUGCGCCCAGGCUCCGGUGUGAGAUGGGGCGAGCUGGAGGCACGGGGCUGGGAACUGGGGUUGGGAACUGGUCUGGGGAUGGGAUUGGGAAUGGAAUUGGGGUUGGGGAUGGGGUUGGGGACAGGACUCGAGGUCCUGGCCACGCUGCGCUGCUUGGGGACAGCUCCAGCCAUCCCCGUCCCUGCUCCUGCCAUCCCCGCUGCCCAUGCCCUGCGCCCCAAAUCCCUUCCCAGCCCCCAGGGCAGCCCCCAGCCCCUGUGGGGUCAGCGCCCUCCGUCCCCAUAGGCCUGGGGGGGCACCCCCGGACUCACCCACAGCUCCGGGACCCUCGGCAGCAGCCACCAGCUCGGCUCCAACUUUGCCACAAGUCCACACAAAGGCGGCCCCCCCAGCCUUGUCCCCAUCCCCGUGUCCCCGUCCCUAUCCCGGCCCCCGCCAGGGCAGACAGCCUGGUGCCACCAGGGCUUAAUGAGGGCGCGAGGGCGGUGGGCUGGGGGGGGGGCUGCACGCUCCACACUCACCCCCCCCUUGGUGGGACUGCUGCUUAACCCUUCCCCUGCUGCUCCUCCCUGUCCCCACCUUGGGGGACAGCGGGGAGGAAUUUGGGGGGGGGUCCCUGCGCCUCCACAGCUCCCCGCAGCAGGUACUGGGGGGGUCUGGCUGCAGGUUCCCCCCUCUGGGACCCCCCCAAAAAGUGCUUGGGAAGGAGCCAGGCGGGGACUCCAGACUAACAAAGUGCCCCCCAACACCCCCAUCCCCCCAAAAAUAU